rnacentral:rRNA from 1 species
AUUGAACGCUGGCGGCAGGCCUAACACAUGCAAGUCGAACGAGUGGCGGACGGGUGAGUAAUGUCUGGGAAACUGCCCGAUGGAGGGGGAUAACUACUGGAAACGGUAGCUAAUACCGCAUACCAUCGGAUGUGCCCAGAGGGGAUUAGCUAGUAGGUGGGGUAACGGCUCACCUAGGCGACGAACCCUAGCUGGACUGCGAGGAUGACCCGCCACACUGGAACUGAGACACGGUCCAGACUCCUACGAGAGGCAGCAGUGGGGAAUAUUGCACAAUGGUCGCAAGCCUGAUGCAACCAUGCCGCGUGUAUGGAGAAGGCCUUCGGGUUGUAAAGUCCUUUCAGCGGGGAGGCGUUACUCGCAGAAGAAGCACCGGCUAACUACGUGCCAGCAGCCGCGGUAAUUC